ACGGGAGGCAGCAGUGGGGAAUAUUGGGCAAUGGGCGAAAGCCUGACCCAGCGACGCCGCGUGAGGGAAGAAGAUCUUCGGAUUGUAAACCUUAGUCAACAGGGACGAAGAAAGUGACGGUACCUGUGGAGGAAGCCACGGCUAACUACGUGCCAGCAGCCGCGGUAAUACGUAGGUGGCGAGCGUUAUCCGGAUUUACUGGGUGUAAAGGGAGCGCAGGCGGUUUUUUAAGUCUGAUGUGAAAGCCCGCGGCUCAACUGCGGGACUGCAUUGGAAACUGGAGAACUAGAGUGUCGGAGGGGCAAGUGGAAUUCCUAGUGUAGCGGUGAAAUGCGUAGAUAUUAGGAGGAACACCAGUGGCGAAGGCGGCUUGCUGGACGAUAACUGACGCUGAGGCUCGAAAGCGUGGGGAGCAAACAGGAUUAGAUACCCUGGUA
rnacentral:rRNA from 1 species